CGCUACCUCAGGUAAAGCGGGUACCUGCUGAAUUU
rnacentral:rRNA from 1 species